AACGAACGUUGGCGACGUGGAUUAGGCAUGCAAGUCGGGGGAAUCCCAGCAAUGGGGGAACCGGCGUAAGGGGCAGUAAGGCGUGGGUACCUACCCUGGGGUUCGGGAUAGCCGUCUGAGAAGGCGGGUAAUACCGGAUGACCUCGGGAGAGCAAAGAUUCAUCGCCCUGGGAGGGGCCCACGUGAUAUUAGCUAGUUGGUGGGGUAACGGCUCACCAAGGCGAAGAUGUCUAGCGGGUGUGAGAGCACGACCCGCGCCACUGGCACUGAGACACUGGCCAGACACCUACGGGUGGCUGCAGUCGAGGAUCUUCGGCAAUGGGCGAAAGCCUGACCGAGCGACGCCGCGUGUGCGACGAAGGCCUUCGGGUUGUAAAGCACUGUCGAGGGGGAGAAAAGCCCGCAAGGGUGUGAUCUAUCCCUGGAGGAAGCUCGGGCUAAGUUCGUGCCAGCCGCCGCCGUAACAC
rnacentral:rRNA from 1 species